rnacentral:lncRNA from 1 species
GGAGGGAGGAAGGAGGGAAACAUGUACUCAUUUUCCCAGUUUCAGCAAACAUUUCACUGCCUUCUCUAAUGACUCCAGCUAGGCUAGCCCCUUCCCAUUACAUGUUCUCAUCGCACUUCUAAAUUUCCCCUUUACAGAUCUCAUGACACUUGCAUCUUAUCAGUGUCUGUCUUCACUUGCAGACAAGAUUGCUGAGAAUAGUUAUCUUUCUUGCUGCAGUAUCCCAUUGUCUACUGCAGAGACGGGCACAAGACAGGCAUCUGCCAAUAUUCAUUAAUUAAGCUGAUAAAUGCUCAAAUUCAAGGCAGUUUCCUUUCUCUCUGCUUUGUUCUUACUGUUGGUCUUCAUCCCUGGUAUAAUUGCUGCAUGAUGGCUGACCUUCUUGGUCAGUUUUUGGCUCCUUUCUAUCGCCAAUAAAACCAGACUCCCUGACCUAUCAUCUUUUGCUUAAUUGGAAGGGUUUUUCACUUCUGGCUAUUAAGCACAGCUAACAUCCAGGACUCCACCCCAGAGACGUCAUUCAUGCCAUUCUCCAGGGGCUAUCAGAAAAGUAGAGAGCUGUGGAGGGCUGUAAAGUUGAAGUGCCUGGUUUCAUCCAAAGCAACAUUUUUCUUUACCUGCUUUGUGUGGAUCAGUUGGUAAAAUGAGGAGCACAUGUUGCUGUUAAAAUAGAAUAAAUACCUGGGAUAGCUUAUUAUCACAAGGUAAAACAGCAAAAUAUAAAUCUAUCUGUUCAGUUUUCCAUUGUGAAAUAAUCACGUCACCAUAUAAUCCUUGGAAAUUAAAACUAAGACUCUUAAUUAUCCUUUCACUGUCUUGGGUUUUCUUUCCUUUCUUGUCCAACAUUAACUGCUUCUGCAAUUGUGAUAAAGCAAUGAUCGCUAUCAAAAGGUCCUUCAGCUAGCCCUGAAAAUAAUUUCCUAGGAACCCCUGCUUUUUGCUAGGAAUCAUGUAAACCUUCUUAACCUCAUCAUUUUUAUGGUAUUUUGUUUUGUUUUGUUUACCCUUAGGGGAUAUUAAAUUUUUAUGUGGCUAAACUUCUCUGUACAUAGGCCAAAGUAAUGUUUUGCAACAAAUAGAAUGAUUUAAAAGCAUUUUGAUUUCACGGGAAGGCUGUUAAUGUACACUGAAAAUUGUGUGGCAGCAAAAUGAGAUACUCUCAGCCGCACAGUUUAUCUAGGGGCACCUGUAUAAAACAGGCCUCAUUUAGCAUUAAAUCUCAUUUUAUGUGAUCAGGGUUUAUCUUUAAAUGGGCCACUCAGGAUUCAUGCUAUAAGACUUUUUUACUGAGUUUCAAGAGAAGGUCCUUCCACCCUUCACCCAUACCCUUAUAAUGCAAUUUAUCAUAAAAUUUGCCUAGAUUUUGGCCAAAUUAGCACUGUAUAUGUCAUGUGCAUCUGGUAUAUAUUUAUUAAAUAAAAACAACAAAAAAUAUAUAAAAAUACUUUGGAAAAUUGUAAAAUAAUAUGUUAUUAAUGUUAUCAAGUGAUUUGCCUGAUUUCCUCUAAACAUGUUAGGAACUCACUAUUUAGAGAUGUCAAAUUACUUCACAUGAAUAAUCAGGGAUAGGCUUAGGAUCACAAAGUGCAUGAAAGUUCAUAUUGUAGGUCAUUCAUAGCAUUUUCAAAUGUAACAGUACUUAGAAAGGAGUGUCUGUGUGUGCAUGUGUAGCUAUAUAAAGUACAAAAAUAUGAGAGAUG